UACGGGGGGGCUAGCGUUGUUCGGAAUUACUGGGCGUAAAGGGCGCGUAGGCGGUCUGCUAAGUUGGAUGUGAAAACUCUGGGCUUAACCCAGAGCCUGCAUUCAAUACUGACAGGCUAGAGUUCUGGAGGGGAUAGCGGAAUUCCUGGUGUAGCGGUGAAAUGCGCAGAUAUCAGGAGGAACACCGGUGGCGAAGGCGGGUCUCUGGGCCGUAACUGACGCUGAGGAGCGAAAGCAUGGGGAGCGAACAGG
rnacentral:rRNA from 1 species